rnacentral:rRNA from 1 species
UGGGGAAUUUUGGACAAUGGGCGCAAGCCUGAUCCAGCCAUGCCGCGUGCGGGAAGAAGGCCUUCGGGUUGUAAACCGCUUUUGUCAGGGAAGAAAUCUUCUGAGUUAAUACCUCGGGAGGAUGACGGUACCUGAAGAAUAAGCACCGGCUAACUACGUGCCAGCAGCCGCGGUAAUACGUAGGGUGCAAGCGUUAAUCGGAAUUACUGGGCGUAAAGCGUGCGCAGGCGGUUUUGUAAGACAGAGGUGAAAUCCCCGGGCUCAACCUGGGAACUGCCUUUGUGACUGCAAGGCUUGAGUGCGGCAGAGGGGGAUGGAAUUCCGCGUGUAGCAGUGAAAUGCGUAGAUAUGCGGAGGAACACCGAUGGCGAAGGCAAUCCCCUGGGCCUGCACUGACGCUCAUGCACGAAAGCGUGGGGAGCAAAACAGGAUUAGAUACCCUGGUAGUCCACGCCCUAAACGAUGUCAACUGGUUGUUGGGAAGGUUCCUUCUCAGUAACGUAGCUAACGCGUGAAGUUGACCGCCUGGGGAGUACGGCCGCAAGGUUGAAACUCAAAUGAAUUGACGGGG